ensembl:lncRNA
GGGUGGCCACGUGGAUCUGAGGUUGGUACCUGCAGUUGGGGGCGAAGCAGUCUCGUGGGAUGGAGACCUUCCUCUGUGGAUCCGGUGCCGCCUCCCGGGAGACAGUGUCUGAACUGAGGUGAAAUCUACAACUGGCCUGGGUCCCUGGAUGGCAAGGAGAGCCGGAAGACGGAAGCAGACACUUCAGAUCGGGAUGAAGUGGCUCUGCUGCCCGGAGGCCCCCUUUGGGACUGAACACGUGUUCCCCCAGCUGUCAGGCGUACUACUUGCUACGAACUCAUGUCUGAGCCCGUCCCCAGG